AUUGAACGCUGGCGGCAUGCCUUACACAUGCAAGUCGAACGGCAGCACGGGAGCAAUCCUGGUGGCGAGUGGCGAACGGGUGAGUAAAGUAUCGGAACGUGCCCAGUCGUGGGGGAUAACGUAUCGAAAGUUACGCUAAUACCGCAUACGAUCUAUGGAUGAAAGCGGGGGAUCGCAAGACCUCGCGCGAUUGGAGCGGCCGAUAUCAGAUUAGGUAGUUGGUGGGGUAAAGGCUCACCAAGCCGACGAUCUGUAGCUGGUCUGAGAGGACGACCAGCCACACUGGGACUGAGACACGGCCCAGACUCCUACGGGAGGCAGCAGUGGGGAAUUUUGGACAAUGGGCGAAAGCCUGAUCCAGCCAUGCCGCGUGCAGGAUGAAGGCCUUCGGGUUGUAAGCUGCUUUUGUACGGAACGAAAAGGUUUGGGCUAAUAAGCUGAGCUCAUGACGGUACCGUAAGAAUAAGCACCGGCUAACUACGUGCCAGCCGCCGCCGUAA
rnacentral:rRNA from 1 species